rnacentral:rRNA from 1 species
AAUAGAUACCCCGGUAGUCCACGCCGUAAACGGUGGGCACUAGAUGUGGGGCUCUUUCCAUGAGUUCCGCGUCGCAGCUAACGCAUUAAGUGCCCCGCCUGGGGAGUACGGCCGCAAGGCUAAAACUCAAAGGAAUUGACGGGGGGCCCGCACAAGCGGCGGAGCAUGCGGAUUAAUUCGAUGCAACGCGAAGAACCUUACCAAGGCUUGACAUAUACGGUCUAUCCCUAGAGAUAGGGAGUGCCUCGGCGCCGUAUACAGGUGGUGCAUGGUUGUCGUCAGCUCGUGUCGUGAGAUGUUGGGUUAAGUCCCGCAACGAGCGCAACCCUCGUUCUAUGUUGCCAGCACGUAAUGGUGGGGUACUCAUAGGAGACUGCCGGGGUUCAACUCGGAGGAAGGUGGGGAUGACGUCAAAUCAUCAUGCCCCUUAUGUCUUGGGCUUCACGCAUGCUACAAUGGCCGGUACAAAGGGCUGCAUACCGUAAGGUGGAGCGAAUCCAAAACGCCGGUCUCAGUUCGGA